ensembl:snoRNA
CUGCAUCUAUUUGACAGACCUGAGGCAGUUACUGUCUGCUGCUACAGUUUUCACAUAGAUGCAAGAAAAAAGGGUCCUCAUGCUUUCUGUGAGGUUGUGGCAGCCAAGAUUGAAGGGGAGAAUACAGAA